AACCAAUAGCUUCUUUCCGACCAAGUAGUUACAGAAACCUGUUAUAGGAACAGUCCACUUCUAAACAGUUCUACAAACUACUCUCCCCCAAAACCGUUUUUUUUCAUUUGCAUUUG